GAGAGCGCAGUACAACGGAGAGUUGUAUGCUGCGUUCGGGAAGGAUGCAUUGCGAAAAGGAAUCUAUUGAUUCUCUCCCAAUUGGUUGGACCGUAUGUGCAAUGAUUUACUUCAC
rnacentral:ncRNA from 1 species